AGAGGCUGCGGGGAGAGCGUCCCGCCGGCCCCGCCGAGCGCGGCCCCGCCGCCGAUGUGGCGCACGAGCGGGGAAAGGCGCUCCCCGAGCAGGUGCUCGAGGGACGGGCGGGUGCCGGUGGACACCGCCCCUGCCGUUCCCUUCGCGAGCCCCUCCGUGUCGGUCCGCUUCCCUUGCGAGCGAACCGAGAGCUGGCUUUGGACCUGGCUGUAGCGAGUCACCCAAGCCUCCCCCCAGGCCUUUUUAACGAAAAGGACGGGCACUGGAGCAGGCGGUUCCCCGACCGCCGCUCCCGAGCCCUCGGGCGAGGCCGCUGCCACACGCGGGGGUUUCCCGGAGCGCAGGGAGCGCGGCGCCGGUGAGAGGCAGCGGCAGGCGCGGCCCAGGCGAGCCUCGGGCUGGGGGGUUUAAGGUGGCGGUUGUCGGCCGAGCGUGAUGUUACUCCUUGCCGCAGAAGCCGGGGGAGUUGUACAGCACGCUUGUGCCCCUUUGACAGUGUGACCCUGCUGGGAGAUGGGGCAGGACUGCAGGACCAGGAGCCUAAUUAGCACCAUAAUGUUGCACUGAAAUGAGCCUAGAGUGAUAGUUGCGUUUUGCGCGUAAAUCGGGACAAAAUCCUGCUUUAGUACACGUAUGGCAUUGACUAACUUGUACGCAGAAACACACACUGGUUCUGAAAUCGGCCACCACUUCACGUGUCAUCCUUCCUCCUGCAUCUGUCCCUGCACUUCUUUAGCUGACGGAUGCUGCUGACUGAAAUACAGGUUUCCCCGCAGAGGGGCCCCUGUAGCUUGGCAUUCUCAGUGUAUUUGGACGGUGUGUACUUAGUUGGAGAAGGGGUCAGGAUUUCAUACUGAGGUAUGGGUUUUUCAGCAUAUUUGUUAGCUUUUUUGGGUUUUUUUGGCCUAUGGGACACUUGCAAAUUUAAAUGUCGGCAAGAUAUUGUCUUAAUAUGUUCAAAAGUAUCAGCACCCAGAUAUGAAUCAGUUUUAUUGAAGUAUGUUCUUAAGUCUGUAUGAUUUAGUAUUUUAGUUAAUUUUACAAUAUGCACAAAAUGUAGUCCAGAUAGAACUAUGAUAUCUGACAGCAGGAGAGAAUUUAAGAUUUGCCAGUUCUUCAUACUCCGUCAGAUAUUUGAAAAUGAUGCUUUGUUCUUUCAGUUUUGUCUGUCACUUGGCAUUAAUCGUCAACAGCAAUGUUGAUCUUAAAGUCAGGGUCUUAACAUUUUUUUUCUGUGAAGGAGUAAGCACACUACCACGCAGAACGUUUUUGUUCAGUUUAAUAAUAAUCACAGUUAAUGGCUCAGCAGCACUGCCACAAGUAAACAUUGGGGUUUUUUCGGCUAACCGAACGGCUCUGACUCAGGAGCUACAUAGGGUCAUAUACUGUAGUGCUCGUAAUAUACACACAGAAACUUGCAUCGGGAUCAACAAUAACUCAGCAUGUCAACAGAUUCAAAUCUGCAGCUGGGAUAGAUCAGUAGUUCCACUGGACCUUAUGUGAGCUGAGAACUGGGCCUUAGUAUCUUGCACUGUUGGUGGGAAACUGGUAUGGGCAAACAUUUUACAAACUGUAAGAAUUGCAAAGGUGCCUCUAACUGUAGGUCUAAAACUAUUAAAAUAUACCACACAAAUUUGAAACUGUGCGGUGACCUGUAUAAGAUGACAGAUACAGAGACUCAAGACGAGUAACUAUACCUUUUAGUCAUGUGCUUGCUAUGUAGACAAUGACUGAAUAAUGAAAUCUACUAUUAAGUGUAAUACUGUUAGAGUUUAUUGGUUCUGAUUUAUAUUUCUAUAGAUAUUUAUAGUGGACUAGGGGAGUUUUGUUGUUGUUUUUAGCCACAGAAAGUAGUAAUUUAAAAUGCUGACUCAAAUCUGCAUAUUUACCAUAUUUCCUUACUUCUUAGGUUUUGAAAAAAUUAUGACAAUAGUUACUUCAAGCAAUUGAUAACAGGUCAAAUGUAGAAAUAAUAAAUUAUGGGUUCUGAUUCACUGAACAAACAUGAAAUUCAGUAUUUCAGAUUUCUCCUUGAAAUUUUAUUUUAGGCUAUUUAUCAAUAAAUAUUUCUGUAAAAAUGAUUUUAGUAUCUUAAUUUUAAUACACAAAUAUUGUAGAAAAAGAAAAAAUUGUACUUUUGCACAUUAUGCAUUGCAAUGGACAAAAAUUAUAAGUUAACUAAAUAAUUUUUUUUAAAAUCACAAGGGUUUCAAUUGUUUGGUCUGUAUUAACACUGUAUUAAAUGAGGAUUAAUGAUUGCAGUGAAUCAUAGAAAACAGCAACCUCAUAUUUGAUUUUGAACGACUGUUUUCUUUCUGAUAGACUCCAUAAUGUUCAGUUAUAAUAUUAUUAAAUAUUUGAAUAGCUAAAAGAAUAACUAAAAUGUAUUUUAAAUUCAUUAUUUGACAGUUGAAAUUGCUAAUUUUUUCAUGCUCAUGUAGCUUUUUAAAAGAAGGCGAUUCUGUGCCUUAUAGACAGAUUUUCAUAUUUUACCUGUUCAAAAGCUGCAGGAGUUUUUAAUCCAUUUUCUACAAGCAGUUGCCUUGUUUUCAAAUAACGUUUCAAGAAUUUCAUAUUUUUCUACUUCUUAGCAGUAGCAGUUUUAAAACACACAUUAGUUCAUUCUGUGAACUUCAGCUGCAGCACAGCAUCUUCCCAGUUUUCCAGCAAUACUGAACUGUGUUUUAGAAUUAAAGGCAUCAUCUGGGACUGAUGAUUAGAGCAAGGAAAAUUCAGCAAUUAAAAUAGUACCAUCCAGGUCUGACUUCUUCAGGAAAACAGUCUUUUCAAUUCUGUUUUUAUUUAUUUUUUUUUUAAUACAGGCAAUUUCAGUGACAUUAUUUUGUCCCUUUUGCUUCCAGAUUAUGUGGGUUUCUUGAAAACACUUCCAUACAUUUCAGCGUCUAAAAAGAGGCCAAGUUUGGGGCCAUCACUGCUGAACUGCAAACCGGAAACUACAGGAAAAUUUAGCAGAAGCAACUUGUGGUACACCUGUGACAGUACUGAUACACCUGGGAGAAGAAUCGGAAUUGCAUUUUAGGAACUCAAAACAGCCUUCUACAAGCCCGUGGUAGAAGAGUUCACAUGGAAGAAAAUAUCAGUCAAGUAGACAGGAUGCAAAGAAAAAAGCAAAAGAGGAUAAUAAACGGGAGGGAGGCUUUGUGGCUUCUUAAAAUACUUCCAGCUAAAUGUAGGACAGCAGAGAUUUUGUCAAAAUUAGCAGUCAACAUGAUGUAAGUGUGUAGGAUAAAAUUUAUUUCAUUGGUGAGGAAAAGACAACUAUUGUAACUUACUUAGCUACAGGAUAUUGUUUCUGACACUUCAUCAGCAUGUUGUUCUUAAUACAGAGGCUGAACAUUAUUUGUGUCAAAAUCGUCACUCAGAGCCCUUGCUUUCCAGCAGACUUCAGCUUCUUAGUCAUAUGCAAACUCAUGCAGUUAUUUUUUUGGGGGGGUUCAAACUCUGUUUGAGGCCAGAGUAGUAGCAGAUAAACAGAAAGAGAC